AUUGAACGCUGGCGGCAGGCCUAACACAUGCAAGUCGAACGAGUGGCGGACGGGUGAGUAAUGUCUGGAAAACUGCCCGAUGGAGGGGGAUAACUGCUGGAAACGGUGGCUAAUACCGCAUACCAUCGGAUGUGCCCAGAUGGGAUUAGCUAGUCGGUGUGGUAACGGCUCACCUAGGCGACGAUCCCUAGCUGGUCUGAGAGGAUGACCAGCCACACUGGAACUGAGACACGGUCCAGACUCCUACGGUAGGCAGCAGUGGGGAAUAUUGCCCAAUGGGCGAAAGCCUGAUGCAGCCAUGCCGAGUGUAUGAAGAAGGCCUUCGGGUUGUAAAGUACUUUCAGCGAGGAGGCGUUACUCGCAGAAGAAGCACCGGCUAACUCCGUGCCAGCAGCCGCGGUAAUAC
rnacentral:rRNA from 1 species